rnacentral:rRNA from 1 species
AUAUCAGUCAUGCAUAGCAUAUCAAUAAGCGGAGGAAAAGAAACUAACAAGGAUUCCCUUAGUAACGGCGAGUGAAGCGGGAAGAGCUCAAAUUUGAAAUCUUCAAGGUUCUACCUUGACGGAAUUGUAGUUUAUAGAAGUGUUUUCUGUUAGUAGAGUGGCAAAAGUUCUUUGGAAUAGGACAUCAUAGAGGGUGAGAAUCCCGUAUUUGGUCAUUCUUUCUAGCUUUGUGAUACACUUUCAACGAGUCGGAUUGUUUGGGGAAUGCAGUCCAAAAUGGGUGGUAAAUUUCAUCUAAAGCUAAAUAUUGGCGAGAGACUGAUAGCGAACAAGUACCGUGAGGGAAAGAUGAAAAGAACUUUGAAAAGAGAGUUAAACAGUACGUGAAAUUGUCAAAAGGGAAGCGUUUGACACCAGUGUUGUUUUUCCGAAAAUCAAUUACGAAUGUUUUAGUUUUUGAGGAGUUAUGACUUCAUCGGCUUGCUUCCUCUCUUUAUGAAACUUUCUUAAUGCACUUUUCGGUUAACAAGUCAACAUCAAUUUCUUUUGUUGUAAAAGGGUAUGAGGAAGGUGGCUUUCUUUUCGGAGAAAGUGUUUAUAGCCUUGUACCUCUGCAAUCGGAGAGAUUGAGGUCUGCAGCGUAGAUCCUUCGGGGUUAGAUACAUUUGUGCUAAGUUAUAGCUUUUCAUAGACAACUUGUUGACUAUGUUUAGUCUUGUAGCUUACUCGCUUACUGCUAUUUUACCUACGCUUAGGAUGUUGAUGUGAUACUGCGAGCA